UGGGGAAUAUUGCGCAAUGGGCGAAAGCCUGACGCAGCGACGCCGCGUGAGGGAUGAAGGCCUUCGGGUUGUAAACCUCUUUCAGCAGGGACGAAGCGAAAGUGACGGUACCUGCAGAAGAAGCACCGGCCAACUACGUGCCAGCAGCCGCGGUAAUACGUAGGGUGCAAGCGUUGUCCGGAAUUAUUGGGCGUAAAGAGCUCGUAGGCGGCCUGUCGCGUCGGCUGUGAAAACCCAGGGCUCAACCCUGAGCCUGCAGUCGAUACGGGCAGGCUAGAGUCCGGCAGGGGAGACUGGAAUUCCUGGUGUAGCGGUGAAAUGCGCAGAUAUCAGGAGGAACACCGGUGGCGAAGGCGGGUCUCUGGGCCGGAACUGACGCUGAGGAGCGAAAGCGUGGGGAGCGAACA
rnacentral:rRNA from 1 species